AACGCACAUUGCGCCCGGUAGUAAUCUGCCGGGCAUGCCUGUCCGAGCGUCAUUUCUCCCCUCGAGCGCGGCUUCACGGCCUGUCGCCCGGUGUUGGGGCGCUACGGAGGAGCCCCGCGCUCCCCCCGUAGGCCCCGAAAUGUAGUGGCGGUCCCGCCGCGGCGCCCCCUGCGUAGUAGUCUUACAACUCGCAUCGGGACCCGGCGGAGGCCAGCCGUCAAACCCCCAACUUCAAUAGUUUGACCUCGGAUCAGGUAGGGUUACCCGCUGAACUUAA
rnacentral:misc_RNA from 1 species